rnacentral:rRNA from 1 species
AACGAACGCUGGCGGCAUGCCUAACACAUGCAAGUCGAACGAGACCUUCGGGUCUAGUGGUGCACGGGUGCGUAACGCGUGGGAACCUGCCCUUAGGUUCGGAAUAACUCCCCGAAAGGGGUGCUAAUACCGGCUCAUGUCCUCCGACCAAAGAUUUAUCGCCUUUGGAUGGGCCUGCGUUGGAUUAGCUUGUUGGUAGGGUAAAAGCCUACCAAGGCGACGAUCCAUAGCUGGCCUGAGAGGAUGAUCAGCCACACUGGGACUGGGACACGGCCCAGACUCCUACGGGAGGCAGCAGUGGGGAAUAUUGGACUGUGGGCGGAAGCCUGAUCCAGCAAUGCCGCGUGAGUGAUGAAGGCCUUAGGGUUGUAAAGCUCUUUUACCCGGGAUGAUAAUGACGGUACCGGGAGAAUAAGCACCGGCUAACUCCGUG